UGGGGGAUAUUGCACAAUGGGGGAAACCCUGAUGCAGCAACGCCGCGUGAAGGAAGACGGUUUUCGGAUUGUAAACUUCUGUUCUUGGUGAAGAAUAAUGACGGUAGCCAAGCAGCAAGCCACGGCUAACUACGUGCCAGCAGCCGCGGUAAUACGUAGGUGGCGAGCGUUGUCCGGAAUUACUGGGUGUAAAGGGAGCGCAGGCGGGAAAUCAAGUCAGCUGUGAAAACUACGGGCUCAACCCGUAGACUGCAGUUGAUACUGGUAGUCUUGAGUGCAGUAGAGGUAAGCGGAAUGCGUGGUGUAGCGGUGAAAUGCUUAGAUAUCACGCAGAACUCCAAUUGCGAAGGCAGCUUGCUAAACUAUAACUGACACUGAGGCACGAAAGCGUGGGUAUCAAACA
rnacentral:rRNA from 1 species